UACGUAGGGGGGCUAGCGUUGUCCGGAAUCAUUGGGCGUAAAGAGCGUGUAGGCGGCCCGGUAAGUCCGCUGUGAAAGUCGGGGGCUCAACCCUCGAAUGCCGGUGGAUACUGUCGGGCUAGAGUGCGGAAGAGGCGAGUGGAAUUCCUGGUGUAGCGGUGAAAUGCGCAGAUAUCAGGAGGAACACCGAUUGCGAAGGCAGGUCUCUGGGCAUUAACUGACGCUGAGGAGCGAAAGCAUGGGGAGCGAACCGG
rnacentral:rRNA from 1 species